UAACGGCUAAAGCCUGCGCUUUAACUCAAAGCCAAGAAAUCUCUCUCUCUCUCAACUCUCUCUCACACACACACACUGAGCGUGUAACUGUGUGUUCUGCAUGUAGAUAUACUCUUUUCUCCCCCCUUUCUGGUGCGUAUACAGUUAAAGCGGUGCGGAGGCGAGUAAUUUCAGGGCGACAGUUCUGGCCGGGCUACGGGUGGUGCUCAGUCGACUCGGCGGCGGGAACCGGCGGCGGGGAGGUUAGAUUAAGGUGAUGGAGUGGUGGCACAAGAUGGUCUUCCCGGUUAGAAGGGCUUGGUUUGCCGUCUCGGCCCGAAUCAGAGCCCGCAAAAAUGGUGCCGGGCUUCUGAAACUCCAUGACGACAUCCAAACAUGUGGAUACGAGGAUGUCCAGAUCAUGUGGGAAAUGUUGAGGAGGACGGAAACAGAAGUAAUGUCCCAUCACAAACAGCGCAAGCACCGGUGGCUCUGGAGGAAUUUUGCAUGUUCCGGCCACGGUGAACCGGCUUCAUCCUUCUCAACCAAUCAAACUCAAUAAGAAAAAAAGCCACUUUCUAUUUAUAGCUGCUGCAAUAAUUAUACCCCGUCACACCGUAGUUUAUGAGCAUCAUCUACGUGAUAUGGUGCAAUACACAAGCAGUAUGUUAUGAAAUGUGUUAUCUGCUGCACAUUCACUUUCAGCUUGUAAAGACUACUUCAUCACAAUGAAGUUAUUUGUAAAUAUGCAUCAUCACCAUGCUUAGUCAUGAUCCUGAAAGGAGUUUUACUACAGAGAAAAGAACUUCUGAGUGA